rnacentral:rRNA from 1 species
GGGAUAACUAUUAGAAAUGAUAGCUAAGACCGCAUAGGUAUGAAGAUCGCAUGAUCUACAUAUUAAAUAUCCCACGGGAUAGCUGAAGGAUGGACUUAUGGCGCAUUAGCUAGUUGGUAGGGUAACGGCCUACCAAGGCGACGAUGCGUAGCCGACCUGAGAGGGUGGACGGCCACACUGGGACUGAGACACGGCCCAGACUCCUACGGGAGGCAGCAGUAGGGGAUUCUCGGCAAUGGGGGAAACCCUGACCGAGCAACGCCGCGUGAGGGAGGAAGUAUUUCGGUAUGUAAACCUCUGUUAUAAAGGAAGAACGGUGAUGUAGGGAAUGACAUGCAAGUGACGGUACUUUAUGAGGAAGCCACGGCUAACUACGUGCCAGCAGCCGCGGUAAUACGUAGGUGGCGAGCGUUAUCCGGGAUUAUUGGGCGUAAAGAGGGAGCAGGCGGCAGCUAAGGUCUGCGGUGAAAGCCCGAAGCUAAACUUCGGUAAGCCGUGGAAACCGAGCAGCUAGAGUGCAGUAGAGGAUCGUGGAAUUCCAUGUGUAGCGGUGAAAUGCGUAGAUAUAUGGAGGAACACCAGUGGCGAAGGCGACGAUCUGGGCUGCAACUGACGCUCAGUCCCGAAAGCGUGGGGAGCAAAUAGGAUUAGAUACCCUAGUAGUCCACGCCGUAAAC